rnacentral:rRNA from 1 species
GUGUCAGCAGCCGCGGUAAUACGGAGGGUGCAAGCGUUGUCCGGAUUUACUGGGUGUAAAGGGCGUGUAGGCGGGAAGAUAUGUCGGGAGUGAAAUCGUGCGGCUUAACCGUAUCAAUGGCUUCCGAAACUGUUUUUCUUGAAUGCUGCAGAGGCGAAUGGAAUUCCAGGUGUAGCGGUGGAAUGCGUAGAUAUCUGGAAGAACACCAGUGGCGAAGGCGGUUCGCUGGGCAGUGAUUGACGCUGAGGCGCGAAAGUGUGGGGAGCAAACAGGAUUAGAUACCCGCGUAGUCC